rnacentral:rRNA from 1 species
CUAGCAUUAGUGUUGGAUCGGCCGAUUCGUAGAUCGAUGAAGAACGCAGCUAGCUGCGUUAUUUACCACGAAUUGCAUACACUUUGAGGGGGGAAAUUUCGAACGCACAGCGCUUCAAAGUUUUCUCUGAGGCACGUCUGGGUCAGGGUUGGU